GUGCUCACUUUGGCAGCACGUAUACUAAAAUUGGAACAAUACAGAGAAUUUGAUGACAUUGGAUGACAUUGGAUGACAUGCAAAUUCAUGAAGUGUUCCAUAUUUUU